ACGAACGCUGGCGGCGCGCUUCACCCAUGCAAGUCGAACGGAAAGGCCCUGCUUUUGUGGGGUGCUCGAGUGGCGAACGGGUGAGUAACACGUGAGUAACCUGCCCUUGACUUUGGGAUAACUUCAGGAAACUGGGGCUAAUACCGGAUAGGAGCUCCUGCUGCAUGGUGGGGGUUGGAAAGUUUCGGCGGUUGGGGAUGGACUCGCGGCUUAUCAGCUUGUUGGUGGGGUAGUGGCUUACCAAGGCUUUGACGGGUAGCCGGCCUGAGAGGGUGACCGGCCACAUUGGGACUGAGAUACGGCCCAGACUCCUACGGGAGGCAGCAGUGGGGAAUAUUGCACAAUGGGCGGAAGCCUGAUGCAGCAACGCCGCGUGCGGGAUGACGGCCUUCGGGUUGUAAACCGCUUUCGCCUGUGACGAAGCGUGAGUGACGGUAAUGGGUAAAGAAGCACCGGCUAACUACGUG
rnacentral:rRNA from 1 species